rnacentral:rRNA from 1 species
CCUACGGGCGGCAGCAGUGAGGAAUAUUGGUCAAUGGACGAGAGUCUGAACCAGCCAAGUAGCGUGAAGGAUGACUGCCCUAUGGGUUGUAAACUUCUUUUAUAUGGGAAUAAAAUGUUCCACGUGUGGGAUUUUGUAUGUACCAUAUGAAUAAGGAUCGGCUAACUCCGUGCCAGCAGCCGCGGUAAUACGGAGGAUCCGAGCGUUAUCCGGAUUUAUUGGGUUUAAAGGGAGCGUAGGUGGAUUGUUAAGGCAGUUGUGAAAGUUUGCGGCUCAACCGUAAAAUUGCAGUUGAAACUGGCAGUCGUGAGUACAGUAGAGGUGGGCGGAAUUCGUGGUGUAGCGGUGAAAUGCUUAGAUAUCACGAAGAACUCCGAUUGCGAAGGCAGCUCACUGGACUGCAACUGACACUGAGGCUCGAAAGUGUGGGUAUCAAACAGGAUUAGAUACCCUAGUAGUC